GGAAAGAGGAGAAAUGUCUGCCCUUUGCAGCUAACAAAAUCACAGCCUGCCUCUUCAUAUUAUAACGUAGUAACGUGAGGUGGAAGAGUUCUGCAUAAGAAAAGUCCAAAACUUGUCCUUAAGCAGACACUGUGACCAUAAAUAUGGUGGCUCGUCCCUAUUGAACUCCAGUAUGGUAACCUAGCCUACACUGGGACUCUUCUAGACCCAAGAAAAAGAGGUGCAAGAUUUUAAGAGCAAAUCUUAAAGCGAAUUUCCCACUGUUGCUCUCAAUUGCCUGGAAGAAAAAUGAGGACCAGUAUUAAAUGCUCGUGAAAGUGCAAAAUUGGAAAACAAGAUUUAGACCAAGGAAAAAGAUUGCAGAAAGUUUACUAAUUAUUACAAAUAGAGCUGAAACAUUGCAUUUUUGAUAUCAACCACUGUGAAUGGAUGUUUGAAUAGCUUGGUUCAGCAGCCCUUAGAAUGAUGCUAUCAGCCAGCAUUACUGGUCUCCUAUUACACUGAAAAAUAUAGAAUUGUUUAACAACUUCCUUAGGUAAGAAAUGCCUAGUCCCCUGCAAAAAUGAGGGUAAGAUAUAAGAAGGCCAAUCUAGCUUUAGUGUCACUGUUUGUAUUUGCACUAGAUAAUGUGAACAAUUUUUAAUAACAAUAAAACCAGCCUGUUACACCUAUUGUUAAAAAGUGCUGAAUAUUUUUGGUAAAUCAUUUCAAAUGAAAAGUAAAGUAAAAAAUUGUAAGUGAAAGUUUUGGUGAUCUGGUGUCACCACAACUUCACAUAAGCCUGAAAUACUGAAUGUUCCCAUAGAUUCCAGACUACAAGGUUUCUGAUGUUUAAUCUGAAUAUUUGAGAAAAUGUGUAUAGUUCAGCCUGCCUCAAGAUAGACAUGUUUGCAUGCCAUCCUGUAAAUGCUGUGGCUAUCUAUCAGAGAGACACUUCUAGAUAGAAAGAUAUAUUUUUAUAUCUGGGCAGAUACAUAGAUAAAUGUACAUAUUUAUAAAAUUAAUAAAUUACAGUGGCUGUAUAGCUCAAAUAUAAUGCAGAUAUAAAUGGGAAAUCAUCAUUGAAACAAGAGAAAUGUAGUGUAUAAGUCAUCCCUUGAAAAGUGUUACAGGAGUAUACCUUCUCCUAUUUCAUACUUAGAAAACACCCAGACCCUUAAAUAUGACAUUUCCUGCAGAUCCAGAUAAUGCAAAAUGACAUCCUUAUUGUUCAUUUCAGCUCUUGUUGAAUCACCCGAUGCAAUUGUGGAGAUAGCAUAUAUUUCUCAAUAUCAUAAUGGGCAUAACAAACAAAGUCCUUUCCAUGUUCUUGAUUCUGCCAAAAGCCAAAUGGCUUUGACUUUCCACUUUGAACAAUCAUUCUCCACAAGCCAAGCAUAAAGAACUUGAGUUAUGAUUUCUGU